rnacentral:rRNA from 1 species
CGUACACUCCUACGGGAGGCAGCAGUGGGGAAUUUUGGACAAUGGGCGAAAGCCUGAUCCAGCCAUGCCGCGUGCAGGAUGAAGGCCUUCGGGUUGUAAACUGCUUUUGUACGGAACGAAACGGCCUUUUCUAAUAAAGAGGGCUAAUGACGGUACCGUAAGAAUAAGCACCGGCUAACUACGUGCCAGCAGCCGCGGUAAUACGUAGGGUGCAAGCGUUAAUCGGAAUUACUGGGCGUAAAGCGUGCGCAGGCGGUUAUGUAAGACAGUUGUGAAAUCCCCGGGCUCAACCUGGGAACUGCAUCUGUGACUGCAUAGCUAGAGUACGGUAGAGGGGGAUGGAAUUCCGCGUGUAGCAGUGAAAUGCGUAGAUAUGCGGAGGAACACCGAUGGCGAAGGCAAUCCCCUGGACCUGUACUGACGCUCAUGCACGAAAGCGUGGGGAGCAAACAGGAUUAGAUACCCGUGUAGUCCCAUG